CAUUUCACCUCCUUCAUCCGAGAUUACCCGCUGAACUUAAGCAUAUCAAUAAGCGGAGGAAAAGAAACCAACAGGGAUUGCCUCAGUAACGGCGAGUGAAGCGGCAAAAGCUCAAAUUUGAAACCCUCGGGAUUGUAAUUUGAAGAUUUGGCAUUGGAGAAAGCUAACCCAAGUUGCUUGGAAUAGUACGUCAUAGAGGGUGACAACCCCGUCUGGCUAACCGUUCUCCAUGUAUUGCCUUAUCAAAGAGUCGAGUUGUUUGGAAA
rnacentral:rRNA from 1 species